AGUUCUCAGCGUCUCGUGUGCUUCUUCUUCUUUCUCUUCACACAAAGUCGUAGAAGUUUUCAGACGUGUCACAGCUGGAUGUGAGGAUGGGACCCACUUUCCUCUGUGAGCUGGGCCUAUUCUUUCUCUGUACGCUCCUCUGCAGCGGACACGCUCAAGAUGCUGUGCUAACUGUUAAACCCAGCUCGACCAUUUUCAUCGGAGAGUUUGUUUACUUCAAAUGUGACAUGAAGGAAGGAGAACACACUGACUGGGAAUACAAACUCAACAGAGCCUUUAUCCAGUACAACACAUACAAGAACUACAGAAAACAAAUUAAG